AUGGAGGAGAACAAGGCAAAACCCAAAUGCUCCCAGCCACCCAGCCCCCUGCCCAGCUGGGGGCAAGACCAGGCCCUCAGCGGGCACUUGGUGGGGGCAGUGGGUGGCUCAGCCUGGCCACAGUCAGGCACUGAGGAGAAGGAGGGGCCCUUGGUCAUCACGGAAGAGAAGAACCCUGACGUGGAUGACGAGCCUUCCCAGUGGGGAGACCUUCGGGCCCAAGAGCCUCGCCUCUACGGAGCAGGGAGUCACCAAGAGUUGCACCAGGGGAAGGUGGCUGUGAGAGUGCCCUGGGGAGAUGUGGCACAGCAACACCUCUACCAGUGGCAACAAAGGGUGACAGUCAAGGAGCUGCCCCAAGGGGAGAAGGAGGAGUGCCAAGCAGAGCCAGAGCUGUCCCAGGAAGAGGUCAGCAGCUGCCAGGACUGGUACGACUCGGAAGAGUGCAGCGAACUGGGCCAUGGAGACUUCCUGGACGGGGACUCCAGCAGCCUAGACGAUUCCACCGAGGAAGACAACAGCAGCACACAGGACAGCUAUGAAUAUGUGAGCAUCCUCAGCUUUGGGAUCACCCCCCUGCCACAGGAGGAGGACAGCUUGGACAAAGUCAGCGUCCUCGAGCUGUGUGAAGCAGAAAGCAGGGCCCAAAGCCUGGCAGCUCUUGCGGCAGACGGGCUGCCAGUGCCUGUCCCUCGGGAGGCCUGGCUUGAGGUCCAGGCACCGGAGUCACUCCGUGCCUCACUUUCCUCCCUGCACGGCCAAGCCUCCAUGGCCCAGCAGGGGCCUGAGGCAGGGCCUCAGAGCCUGGGGCCUGCCCUGCACAGCCUCGAGGUCCCCGAGGCCCUCAGGCAGCAGCCGUCUCCCUCCAGCAAACGGCCCGGCUUCCUCAGGCGGGCACGGCGGGCGCUGCGGGCGCUGUUCCGCUGGCCCUGCUGGGCACCACAGCCACAGGAGUAGCGCCGGUGCCAGGCUUACAGAUGGCCGCUGGCCCAGGGCCCCAGGGAGCCACACCUUGCCCUGGACAUGGCCCUGCAGCCUCAGCUGCCAUGGCUACUGUGGACUGUGCCAGGGGCAUCUCCCCAACACCCAGAGUCACCGCUGUGGCCAACCCCAAACAGCAGCCAUGGGGCACAUUGGUGCCAGGGCGCUCAGCAGUGAAUCCCAGAGUCAUCAAGGUGGGAAGAGACCCCGACAGUCACCCAGUGCCACUGGCCUCCUGGCAGCACCGCCAUCACCGCAAAACCACAUCCCCAAGGGCCACAACUCUUCGACACUCCAGAGACAGCCACUCCACCACCUCCCCGGGCAACUUCUUCUAAUGCCUCACGCCUCUGUCAGAGAAAAACUGCUUCUGAUAUUGAGUCUGAACUUCCCCUGGUGGCAUCACGGGACAUUUCCUCUCAUGAAAGGAUCCCACGCCAGUCCUUUGGGAUUAUAUCCAUGAAGAAUGGGCACAGACCAGAGGUGCUGCUCCACUGACGUGACUGCAGAACUUUGGCUCGUACCAUUCUUCCAAAAAAAUCAACGUUGAGUUUAGGAAAUAGUAGUAGUUAGGAAUAAGAAUAGGAAUAGGAAUAAGAAGAUGAAUAGGAAUAAGAAGAUGAAGAUAGUCAUUAAUAUAAGAAGAAUAGGAAUUACAGUAAGCAUAACAAGUGAAUAAGAUUAAUUAGAAUAAGAAGAAUAGGAUGAAGAAGAAAUAGUAGUAGUAAAUAGGAAUAAAAAUUAGGAAUAAGAAGAAUAAGAGUAAGAC
ensembl:lncRNA